CGAAGCUCUCAGCAGCAGAGCACCAUUGCUCAUUACACACCGUCUGUCUUUCUAUCUGCCUUAGCAUUCUCUGCUUUGCUACCGGCCCCGGCGUGAGUGAAAUUAUCUUCGAUUUCGAGCAAGGGGAUCAGAGAAACUUCUGCAUGGAGGGAGCGGUGGGUUAGAUAUAUAUGCCCAACCCUCAUGGUUUCCUUCUUCUUCUGAUGCUGCUGCUGCUGCUGGUGGUGGUGGUGGUGAAUGGUGAUACAAGUUACUACACAUGGUUUCUUUGGAUAUCAAGGUCAAAAUGGACGAUUACCCAAUACAUCUGCUGAUACACGGUUUUGAGGAUGCCCCCAGAAAGCUGAUUGAUCAUCUCUCAGAGUCAUAUGAUAAUCAGGCAGCUAAAUCAUUCUUCUUGGCUGGCUGGUACAGUGAAGGUGUAGGAGCCUCUGCUGUUCUUAAGGCACAGCCAAACUCCUGAAAUCGAGAAGAAGUGAUCCUGACACAAGAAAGCAUUUUGGCAAAAUUAUCCAUGUAGACUGCUCUCUAUGGAAAAGUAGAAGAUCCUUGCAGAGGGCAAUCGUGGAGGAGUUAAAUCUUGGCCAUUUACUGCCCAUGUUUGAUAAGGAGGAUGAGGAUGAUGAUUUUAGAGGGAUAAAGAUCGGCUCUAGACUAGAGAUACCACGCAUCGGAAGUGAGAUCAACGCGUCUCUAAGAAAUGAAAGAUUUCUGAUGAUUUUUCAUUAUGGGGGAGAAGAAGUCAUUGAUCUAGCAGAGUAUGGCAUUCCUAAUCCUGAAUUUGGGACAUAUGCUUUAGGGCAACUGCUAUGGAGUGGUUAUGGAAGAUUUCAACUCUCAGAGAGAAAAGACAAGUUAAAGUAAGUUCUGCAUUUUUUUUCC